rnacentral:rRNA from 1 species
AACGCUAGCUACAGGCUUAACACAUGCAAGUCGAGGGGCAGCAUGGUCUUAGCUUGCUAAGGCCGAUGGCGACCGGCGCACGGGUGGGUAACACGUAUCCAACCUGCCGUCUACUCUUGGACAGCCUUCUGAAAGGAAGAUUAAUACAAGAUGGCAUCAUGAGUCCGCAUGUUCACAUGAUUAAAGGUAUUCCGGUAGACGAUGGGGAUGCGUUCCAUUAGAUAGUAGGCGGGGUAACGGCCCACCUAGUCUUCGAUGGAUAGGGGUUCUGAGAGGAAGGUCCCCCACAUUGGAACUGAGACACGGUCCAAACUCCUACGGGAGGCAGCAGUGAGGAAUAUUGGUCAAUGGGCGAGAGCCUGAACCAGCCAAGUAGCGUGAAGGAUGACUGCCCUAUGGGUUGUAAACUUCUUUUAUAAAGGAAUAAAGUCGGGUAUGGAUACCCGUUUGCAUGUACUUUAUGAAUAAGGAUCGGCUAACUCCGUGCCAGCAGCCGCGGUAAUACGGAGGAUCCGAGCGUUAUCCGGAUUUAUUGGGUUUAAAGGGAGCGUAGAUGGAUGUUUAAGUCAGUUGUGAAAGUUUGCGGCUCAACCGUAAAAUUGCAGUUGAUACUGGAUAUCUUGAGUGCAGUUGAGGCAGGCGGAAUUCGUGGUGUAGCGGUGAAAUGCUUAGAUAUCACGAAGAACUCCGAUUG